rnacentral:rRNA from 1 species
AACGAACGCUGGCGGCGCGUAUUAAGCAUGCAAGUCGGACGGGAUUAGCUCUUUCGGGAGCUAUGAGAGUGGCGAACGGGUGAGUAACACGUAGGUGAUCUAUCCUUGGUUGGGGGAUAGCCUAUGGAAACAUAGGGUAAUACCGCAUGAGGUUUUUCACUAUUUUUAGUGAAAGAUGAAAGGCGCAUUAUGCGUCGACUGAGGUUGAACCUGCGCCCCAUUAGCUUGUUGGCAGGGUAAUGGCCUACCAAGGCGACGAUGGGUAGCCGGCCUGAGAGGGUGAACGGCCACACUGGGACUGAGACACGGCCCAGACUCCUACGGGAGGCAGCAGCUAAGAAUCUUCCGCAAUGGGGGAAACCCUGACGGAGCGACGCCGCGUGGACGAAGAAGGCAGGAAUGUUGUAAAGUUCUUUUCUUGGCGAAGAAUAAGGAGAAGAGUGGAAAGCUUCUCUGAUGACGUUAGCCAAGGAAUAAGCCCCGGCUAAUUACGUGCCAGCAGCCGCGGUAACACGUAUGGGGCGAGCGUUGUUCGGAAUUAUUGGGCGUAAAGAGCGUGUAGGCGGUUUUACAAGCCUGGUGUGAAAGUCUCCGGCCUAACCGGAGGACUGCGCGGGGAACUGUAAGACUAGAGUUCAGGAGGGGGAGCUGGAAUUCCUGGUGUAGGGGUGAAAUCUGUAGAUAUCAGGAAGAACACCGGUGGCGAAGGCGAGCUUCUGGCCUGAGGACUGACGCUGAGACGCGAAAGCGUGGGGAGCGAACAGGAUUAGAUACCCUGGUAGUCCACGCUGUAAACGAUGUGCACUGGGUGUUGGUGCUUUAUUGGCAUCGGUGCCGCAGCUAACGCGUUAAGUGCACCGCCUGGGGAGUAUGCUCGCAAGGGUGAAACUCAAAGGAAUUGACGG